rnacentral:piRNA from 1 species
UUUUGGUCGAUUUACCAUAUU